UACGGGGGGGGCAAGCGUUGUUCGGAAUUACUGGGCGUAAAGGGUUCGUAGGUGGCUUGCUAAGUCAGACGUGAAAUCCCUCAGCUUAACUGGGGAACUGCGUCUGAUACUGGCGAGCUUGAGUGCAGGAGAGGAACGCGGAAUUCCCGGUGUAGUGGUGAAAUGCGUAGAUAUCGGGAGGAACACCAGUGGCGAAGGCGACUACCUGGCCUGUUCUUGACGCUGAGGCGCGAAAGCUAGGGGAGCAAACGGG
rnacentral:rRNA from 1 species